GUUUGUGAUUAAGAGUCAAUUAUAACUAGAUGUAAUGUGGAUGAUUGAGUAUAAGAACUAGAACUUCAACCGGAUCCCAAAAGCUAAAGUAGUGUUUCCC
rnacentral:sRNA from 1 species